AAGUCGUAACAAGGUCUCCGUAGGUGAACCUGCGGAGGGAUCAUUAACACUGGAAGAGGAACAGGACGAGCACCUAACUAGGCUCGGACUGACCUUUCACACCAACUCGCGAACUGAACGGAUGCCCUCUCCUCUGCUGCCGUCAAAGGCAGCCGAGUGUGUUUUUGUUUUUCUUGUAUUUCUACAAACCAUAAACCAACUGUUGUGACUGAAUAGCGGACUCUGUCCUGUCUAUUUCUGUAACAUUGUGAAUGUAAGCACAACUCCUAGCAACGGAUAUCUCGGUUCUC
rnacentral:misc_RNA from 1 species